rnacentral:rRNA from 1 species
GUGGGGAAUCUUGCGCAAUGGGCGAAAGCCUGACGCAGCCAUGCCGCGUGGAUGAUGAAGGUCUUAGGAUUGUGAAAUCCUUUCACCGGUGAAGAUAAUGACUGGAGCCGGAGAAGAAGCCCCGGCUAACUUCGUGCCAGCAGCCGCGGUAAUACGAAGGGGGCUAGCGUUGCUCGGAAUUACUGGGCGUAAAGGGAGCGUAGGCGGACAUUUAAGUCAGGGGUGAAAUCCAGAGGCUCAACCUCGGAACUGCCUUUGAUACUGGGUGUCUUGAGUGUGAGAGAGGUGAGUGGAACUCCGAGUGUAGAGGUGAAAUUCGUAGAUAUUCGGAAGAACACCAGUGGCGAAGGCGACUCACUGGCUCAUUACUGACGCUGAGGCUCGAAAGCGUGGGGAGCAAACAGGAUUAGAAACCCUGGUAGUCC